AACGAACGCUGGCGGCAUGCCUAACACAUGCAAGUCGAACGAGACCUUCGGGUCUAGUGGCGCACGGGUGCGUAACGCGUGGGAACCUGCCCUUAGGUUCGGAAUAACUCCCCGAAAGGGGUGCUAAUACCGGAUAAUGUCUUAGGACCAAAGAUUUAUCGCCUUUGGAUGGGCCCGCGUUGGAUUAGCUAGUUGGUAGGGUAAAAGCCUACCAAGGCGACGAUCCAUAGCUGGUCUGAGAGGAUGAUCAGCGACACUGGGACUGAGACACGGCCCAGACUCCUACGGGAGGCAGCAGUGGGGAAUAUUGGACAAUGGGCGAAAGCCUGAUCCAGCAAUGCCGCGUGAGUGAUGAAGGCCUUAGGGUUGUAAAGCUCUUUUACCCGGGAUGAUAAUGACAGUACCGGGAGAAUAAGCUCCGGCUAACUCCGUG
rnacentral:rRNA from 1 species